CCCUUAGAUGUUCUGGGCCGCACGCGCGCUACACUGAAGGGAUCAGCGUGUUUUCCCUUUCCGAGAGGAACGGGUAACCCGCUGAACCCCCUUCGUGGUAGGGAUCGGAGCUUGCAAUUGUUCUCCGUGAGCCAGGAAUUCCCAGUAAGCGCAAGUCAUAAGCUUGCGUUGAUUACGUCCCUGCCCUUUGUACACACCGCCCGUCGCUACUACCGAUUGAACGUUUUAGUGAGGUAUUUGGACUGGGCCUUGGGAGGUUUCGGCCUCCCUUGUUGCUCGGAAAGACUCCCAAACUUGAGCGUUUAGAGGAAGUAAAAGUCGUAACA
rnacentral:rRNA from 1 species